rnacentral:rRNA from 1 species
GGUCAAGCUAAUAAGGGCUGAUGGUGGAUACCUAGGCACACAGAGGCGAAGAAGGACGUGGUUACCGACGAAAUGCUCCGGGGAGUUGGAAGCAGACAUUGAUCCGGAGAUGUCCGAAUGGGGCAACCCUAUGUACUACCUGCUGAAUAUAUAGGCAGGAAAGAGCCAACCCAGCGAAUUGAAACAUCUUAGUAGCUGGAGGAAGAGAAAUCAAAAGAGAUUCCCUAAGUAGUGGUGAGCGAACGGGGAAGAGCCUAAACCAGAGGGUUUACCUUCUGGGGUUGUGGGACAGCGAUAUCGAAUCUAGCGGUUAGACGAAGCAGCUAAAUACUGCACCAGAGAAGGUGAAAGUCCUGUAGUCGAAAACUUAAGGAUAGUAGCUGAAUCCCGAGUAGCAUGGGGCACGAGGAAUCCCAUGUGAAUCAGCGAGGACCAUCUCGUAAGGCUAAAUACUACUGUGUGACCGAUAGUGAACCAGUACCGCGAGGGAAAGGUGAAAAGAACCCCGGAAGGGGAGUGAAAUAGAACAUGAAACCAUCAGCUACAAGCAG